AGGUGGAGCGAAUCACAAAACCCGGUCUCAGUCCAGAUUGCAGGCUGCAACUCGCCUGCAUGAAGUUGGAAUUGCUAGUAAUCGCGAAUCAGAAUGUCGCGGUGAAUACGUUCCCGGGCCUUGUACACACCGCCCGUCACACCAUGAGAGUCGAUAACACCCGAAGCCUGUGAGCUAACCGCAAGGGGGCAGCAGUCGAAGGUGGGGUUGAUGAUUGGGGUGAAGUCGUAACAAGGUAUC
rnacentral:rRNA from 1 species